AUGACUUUGAUCCCCGUCUUCAUCUGGACACUGAUCCUCUGGACUCAAGAAUGCAGAGGUCAAGUCACAGUAACUCAGACUCCUGCAGUGAAAUCUGCUCUUCCAGGAGAAACAGUCACCAUCAACUGUAGAACCAGUCAGGCAGUGUAUCACAGCAGCUCAUAUGGUCACUGCUUACACUGGUAUCAGCAGAAACCUGGAGAAGCUCCUAAACUCCUGAUUAAGCUCGCAAAUCAGCGAGAGUCAGGUAUUUCAGCUCGUUUCAGUGGCAGUGGAUCUGGAUCUGAUUUCACUCUGACCAUCAGUGGAGUCCAGACUGAAGAUGCAGGAGAUUACUACUGUCAGAGUGAACAUUGUCCUAGUAGCUGUGUGUUCACACAGUGUGGGUCAGGCACAGUGUCCUUCAGUCUGUUGGCUUGUGUCAGUGGUGAAGGACUUUACUCUGCUCUGGUCCUUCAGCUCUCUGUAGUGCUGCUGUUCUCUGCAGUCUGA